CAAUUCUACUUCAACUGAAAAAUAAAGACAGAGCAGCUGGAGCUGGCCACGAUCAGCGUACAGAGACAGGCUGGCCCGCUGGACUGGAAGGCCCUGCCCAGAGCUUCCUGGUCUCAGUCUUCUCAUCUAUAAACCUGAGUGGAGCCUUCCAUGCCUCCUGCAGAGCUGACGGUGGAGCUGAUGCCAUCCCAGCCACCCUCUGCUUGGCUGUGCUUUCUUGCACCCAAAUCCUGAAUAACCAGAGGCAUUGGUUAAUCAAGGCUUGAGCUAGGAUGCUCACCCAUCAUUGGGAAGGUAACAUUUUCCUGGGGCUGUCAGUUAGAUUUUACAUAAGAGCCCCCAGGAGGAGUCGGCCCAGGUCUGGAUCCCACCUCUACCGCUCAUGAUUACCCUGUCCCCUCUCAGAGCCCAUCUCCUUCAUCUGUGAGCUGGGUGUGUGGGUGCAUCCUGCAGGGCUGCUGGGGAGAGUACACACUGCACGGGAAACAUCUCCCGCCGUGCUUCCUGGGUCCCUCCCGCUAUUGCUCAUCAUUAUAACCAUAGCGGGAUGCUGGUCCGGCAGGGGGCCCAGGACACGUUCCUCCCAGUGGUGGUGGUAAAAUCCACCUGUCACCAGCUCCUGCCUGCCUUGCGUUGGCGUCUGUUUCUCCAGGAUGGUGUUUAGUCCAAAGUUGCUGCAUCACAGCGUCAGCAUCUAGGUUUCACUCUGGGUCAUCUGGCACUGACCCACAGGGGCCAGCUUGGACAUCCCACAGGUGCUCAGGGAUUCCUGCCCCCCGCCAGGGACGUGAAAAUCUCCUAAUUACGCCAGAAACUCCUUUAAAGAGUCUGUAAUCGUUCCUACAGAAGCAUUCAUCCAGUGCAAACCAUUCUACCAUGACUGGAAAUCAAAAGUCCAAACAUACACAAGAUCAUAACCUGCCAAAGAAAAUUUGCAGUAGACGAAAUUCACAUGCAAGGUUCCCCAAACUCGCUAUUAGCUACAUUAAGUCCUCCAAGAACUAAUGCAGCCUGCGACAACUGUGUGUCCCACUGGUGAUGCCUGAAGUCUCAGAGGCAAGAACGGGUGUCAGGGGCAAAGUGAUAUCAGAAACCAGCUACAGCUAAGGGAGUGAGAUCAGGUCCCGCUUUCUUUUGGAGAUGGGAGGUUUUCUUAUAUGUUCCUGUGUCAGGCUUUUGACUUCCCACAUGAAGUUGGCAAAUUGAAAUUCACAACUACAAGAGCAAUCUUUUGAUGUUCCAACUACCCGGUCUUUGUUGCAAAAACUCGUAUAUCCU